CGAUAACAUUGAGUUGGAAAUAGUUAUUCGAGUAAUACUUACUUUUAUUGAAUUUUCCUUAAAGUAAUCUGUUAUAAGUACGUAAAAAUAAAUAUUCUGUAAGUUUUCCCUUUAUAAAAAAUAUGAAUUUGGGCUACUGCAAGGAUGAAAGGAAUUAUCCGUAGGGCUGAAGAACGAAUAGCAACAGCUGCCGCAUUGACGUUGCUUAAAGUGCAAAUGCAAUUUAUUUGCAACAAGCACUUGGUGCACAUGCAACAAUGGCUGGCCAGGAAUCGAGAUUGGAAGAGCUGUGGAACAAUUUGCCCAUAAUUUCCGCAACUCAGCCGUUCCUCCGACUCCUACACAACACGACCCUAUCCUUUCUAUAUUCCAUUCUCCUUCAGACUGGGGACAUUAGAGUUUGUUAAGUGACGGGCAGAACUGAAGUCUGGCACAAGGACAACGGCUAUGCCGCUCCUGCAUACCUGAAAAUCACUCGGCCAGGACCAAGUUGAAUCUUAGCAAGAUGCAACGUUGGAAAUUCGCAACACACUCACUCGCUCGAAGAAUGCCAGUCAACGUUGACAAUCGACUUUUAUUGCUGUUGAAAAGGACCAGUGGCAACGCAAAAAAACAAGAGAUCGGAAAUAUCUGAAACGAGUCGAAAAAGAAACGCAUGGAUUCACUGAAAAAAAUAAGUCCUUAGUUCCUCAAGAGGAGAGGUGUUCUUGCGGUUUAAGGAGAAUUUUUGAAACGUUUUUUCAUGAAGAAUAUUGU